GCCAUUCGAUCGUAUUUAGAAGAUAGCCACCCACUCGGAAGGGAAAGCUACAGUGGCCGAAGAAGCUGUGAUCUUUCAAGCAGGGCGCUGCCACUGGAGCACAGAGGAGGGUAUACAGAAGACAGCACGGGUUGAAGGCAGGGUGAGUGGUGCCGGAGGACAGACCUC
rnacentral:sRNA from 1 species